rnacentral:lncRNA from 1 species
AGACUCUGAGCGGCCUGACCACAGGGACAGAAUGAGAUAAAGCCCCAGAAGUGUUAGAGAGAACAUAUUUAGAUAAGGUCAUCUAAACGCAAAAACCGGUCAUGCGGAUAGACAUCAUAAUGUUGAAUUGAACUGGUAUUUGAGACUUAAAUCUUCAGAAUAUUAUUUCAUAAAACUGGUCGAUAAAUCGAAGUGGAAGUCUUUAGGAAUGACGAGUAAACAGUUGUGUCUCUUUGGAGAAACGAUGAUACAAUAUCUAUGUCGACAUUCAAAUGAUGCUAUUCAAGGUAACACUAUACUCAAAGAAGCUGACAUUUGGCAGUGUGAGAAAGGAAGUCUACUUUUGCACGACAGGAAAAAUGAUAUUUGCAUGUAUAUUAUAUCGGAAGCAGCUGCAAAACCACGGUCAGGAAACUCUUUGAAAUUAUGGUGUGGUAGACUAUUUUACUGUUUUUUGUCCGCCUUGAUGGGACGAUAUUAAGGUAGAGUUUUAUAUGAAAAUCUACGAUAAAGUCUGAUGAUCUCGAAUGUGGAAAAAAUAGACUUGAUUAAGAAGUUUCCGCUAAGAAAUAAAGCCUUUGCGUUGGAUCAGCUGCAUUUGUUUGCCGUCUUCUGAAGAUCUUAUCUUUCAGGAAUAAAUUCGCUGGACCAGCUACGCUGCCUAACUGUGACCUCCAUUUCUCUGUCUCUCCUUCCGGUGCGACUCAAACCCCAAUGCUGUCGAUCUGAAGUCGAAGGCCCUACGACUGAGCUAUCAUGGCUAACGGAUGUAAUUUUGUGUAAUAGUAGAGCGAUGUUAAAAUAAGUGUUCAUCACGUUGAAUCGACAACGGCCGCAUACUAACGUUUUCUACAAAGCUAAGCUUGUUUAAAUUAAAAUUCGUUUACAAUUCAUGUGCGGACGACAAUUCAUAUUGGAAGACGAAUACACUGCUUAUCACUUUGAGCUGAUACCAACGCGAAGGUAACCACAGGGACAGUUUACUGAGGUAUUGACACACUAAAUAGCUGUAGGCUCUUCUUUUAUUUAUAUGAAACAGAGGAACUUCCAGUGGCUGCAGCGCACACUGAGUAAAGCACACACCGGGGACCAUUUGAAAAGACUGUGACUUAGUUACCUUAUCUUGAGGAAUGUUGUCAGUGCAGUAUACAAAUCGAAAGAAUGACUUAUUUUCCAUGACAAGUUAAGAUUUUUUACGACGAAAACGCUACCAACAUUUCAGGGAUAGAUCUGUUAAAUAAUUUCAACCAAAACAAUACAUCAAAAGAAAGGAAUGUAUUUCUACAGAGCCGAAACAGCGAUCUAUUUGAAUCUGUUAUUUUCUACCUUUUUUCUCGCCAUUUUCCUAUUUGUUAAUGUCUGUAUAUACCCUAAGAGUUGCAAGUCGGCACGUUUGAAACAUAGUUUUGCAAUGUAGAAUUUCAUUGAACAUUUUUCU